rnacentral:rRNA from 1 species
UACGGAGGGUGCAAGCGUUGUCCGGAAUUAUUGGGCGUAAAGCGCGCGCAGGCGGCUUCUUAAGUCUGAUGUGAAAGCCCACGGCUCAACCGUGGAGGGUCAUUGGAAACUGGGGAGCUUGAGUACAGAAGAGGAGAGUGGAAUUCCAUGUGUAGCGGUGAAAUGCGUAGAUAUAUGGAGGAACACCAGUGGCGAAGGCGGCUCUCUGGUCUGUAACUGACGCUGAGGAGCGAAAGCAUGGGGAGCGAACAGG